CAGCUUAACACAUGCAAGUCGAGCGGGGAAGGGUAGCUUGCUACCUAACCUAGCGGCGGACGGGUGAGUAAUGCUUAGGAAUCUGCCAUUUAGUGGGGGACAACAUUCCGAAAGGAAUGCUAAUACCGCAUACGUCCUACGGGAGAAAGCAGGGGAUCUUCGGACCUUGCGCUAAAUGAUGAGCCUAAGUCGGAUUAGCUAGUUGGUGGGGUAAAGGCCUACCAAGGCGACGAUCUGUAGCGGGUCUGAGAGGAUGAUCCGCCACACUGGGACUGAGACACGGCCCAGACUCCUACGGGAGGCAGCAGUGGGGAAUAUUGGACAAUGGGCGGAAGCCUGAUCCAGCCAUGCCGCGUGUAGUGAAGAAGGCCUUUUGGUUGUAAAGCACUUUAAGCGAGGAGGAGGCUCUCCUAGUUAAUACCUAGGAUGAGUGGACGUUACUCGCAGAAUAAGCACCGGCUAACUCUGUGCCAGCAGGCCGCGGUAAUACAGAGGGUGCGAGCGUUA
rnacentral:rRNA from 1 species